rnacentral:lncRNA from 1 species
GUUCAAUUUGAGUCUGAAUGAGUAGGAAGAAAAACAAUCAUAAAUGACUUCAAACAUUAUGCCUGUAAGCAGAUGACUGCAGCCAAGGACUUGAAGAGAAAGGUUGGCAAAAUAGGCGUGAAGGUUAAAAAAACGUGUGUGUGACAAAAUCUGCACUAGAGAUGGAAAGCUUCUCUGGUGGUGUUUGUAAUAGCCAGAACCUGGAAGCAACCUAGAUGCCUCUCAACUGAAGAAUGGAUGGAGAAAAUGUGGUACAUUAACACAAUGGAAUACUACUCAGCGGGAAAAAAUGGAAUCUUGGAAUUCACAGUCAAGUGGAUGGAACUAGAAGAAACCAUCCUGAGUGAGGUAACCCAGUCACAAAAAGACAAACAUGAUUCUGUGUGUUAUUUACAGCAACAGACUCAUACUCGUGCACACUCUAACCUGAUUGGCUUUAUUGCAGAAGGAAAUAAUUAAGUCAGCAUGCCAAAAAGGAUGGAAGGGAUUGCAUUACAGUGAUUAACACUAUCAUUAAAUAUUGCAAUGAUCACAAACUGGCACUUUCUACUAUACUUGCAUUGAAUUUUAUUUGGCUGAGACAGAAAUGUGUAUGUGUUUGGG